rnacentral:rRNA from 1 species
AGUGAACGCUGGCUGUAGGCCUAACACAUGCAAGUCGAACGGCAGCACAGAGGAGCUUGCUCCUUGGGUGGCGAGUGGCGGACGGGUGAGGAAUACAUCGGAAUCUACUCUGUCGUGGGGGAUAACGUAGGGAAACUUACGCUAAUACCGCAUACGACCUACGGGUGAAAGCAUGGGACCUUCGGGCCUUGCGCGAUUGAAUGAGCCGAUGUCGGAUUAGCUAGUUGGCGGGGUAAAGGCCCACCAAGGCGACGAUCCGUAGCUGGUCUGAGGGGGUGAGCAGCCACACUGGAAAUGAGACACGGUCCAGGCUCCUACGGGAGGCAGCAGUGGGGAAUAUUGUAAAAUGGGCGCAAGCCUGAUCCAGCCAGACCGCGUGGGUGAAGAAGGCCUUCGGGUUGUAAAGCCCUUUUGUUGGGAAAGAAAUCCAGCUGGCUAAUACCCGGUUGGGAUGACGGUACCCAAAGAAUAAGCACCGGCUAACUUCGUGCCAGCAGCCGCCGUAA